UAUUACGGGUGGUUCGGCCCCACUUGAGAUAGCUCCAUUUGUUUAUGAGUACCCUUGGUUUCCUCGGCNGGGCUUGCCCGCCAUGAGGACAUCAAAAACCCUUUGUAGUAGCAGUAACUUCAGUUAAUAAUAAAUAUUAAAACUUUCAACAACGGAUCUCUUGGUUCUGGCAUCGAUGAAGAACGCAGCGAAAUGCGAUAAGUAGUGUGAAUUGCAGAAUUCAGUGAACUCAUCGAAUCUUUGAACGCACAUUGCGCCCUUCGGUAUUCCGUUGGGCAUGCCUGUUCGAGCGUCAUUUAAACCUUCAAGCUAUGCUUGGUGUUGGGUGUUUGUUCCGCCUCAGCGCGCUGGGACUCGCCUCCAAUUCAUUUGGCAUGCCGGUAUGUUGGCUUCGUGCGCAGCACAGUUGCCAGGCGAUUUCAGCAGACCCCCUUCCACUAAGGCCCUUUUUUUACUUUGACCUCGGAUCAGGUAGGGAUACCCGGCUGAACUUUAGGCUUAUCAAUAAGCGGAA
rnacentral:rRNA from 1 species